rnacentral:lncRNA from 1 species
CCCCGAGGACAUGACCUUACGCUAUCAUCCCCGCCGCGGCCACUAUCCCUCCAACCGACUUUGGGGAACAGUGGCGCACACACGCACUAUAACGAAAUACGCAAAAAGGUACAAACUAGAUAGCAACAGAAUAGACCUCACUCGAAAUGCAAGCUAAAAUAUGUAAAAAGGUGCACAAAGUAAACAAGAGAGCGGGAGGUAUCAACUCCCGGUGGAAAAACCUGAAAGUAUGUUUUGAUGCGCCCAAGUUUUCC